GUGAUAAUGACCAAUUUGAUUAUAAUGAAUAUAAUCGUAUUGCAAUAAGCGA
rnacentral:sRNA from 1 species